AACACAUGCAAGUCGAGCGGUAGAGAGAAGCUUGUUCUCUUGAGAGCGGCGGACGGGUGAGUAAUGCCUAGGAAUCUGCCUGGUAGUGGGGGAUAACGUCCGGAAACGGACGCUAAUACCGCAUACGUCCUACGGGAGAAAGCAGGGGACCUUCGGGCCUUGCGCUAUCAGAUGAGCCUAGGUCGGAUUAGCUAGUUGGUGGGGUAAUGGCUCACCAAGGCGACGAUCCGUAACUGGUCUGAGAGGAUGAUCAGUCACACUGGAACUGAGACACGGUCCAGACUCCUACGGGAGGCAGCAGUGGGGAAUAUUGGACAAUGGGCGAAAGCCUGAUCCAGCCAUGCCGCGUGUGUGAAGAAGGUCUUCGGAUUGUAAAGCACUUUAAGUUGGGAGGAAGGGCAGUUACCUAAUACGUGAUUGUUUUGACGUUACCGACAGAAUAAGCACCGGCUAACUCUGUGCCAGCAGCCGCGGUAAUACAGAGGGUGCAAGCGUUAAUCGGAAUUACUGGGCGUAAAGCGCGCGUAGGUGGUUCGUUAAGUUGGAUGUGAAAUCCCCGGGCUCAACCUGGGAACU
rnacentral:rRNA from 1 species